UUGUAAUUAUGUUGGGGUAGAGGGUGUCACAUGGUGGCUAAAGGGUACAAGUAAAAAUUAGGUAUUGAUUACUUUGAAGUAUUUGCACUUGUUGUAAGAUUGGAUACAAUUCGUAUGAUUAUUUCUCUUUCAACUCAAAAUAAUUGGAAGAUAUAUCGAAUGGAUGUUAAAUCUACAUUUCUAAAUGAUAUUUUGGAAGAAGUAUAUGUUGAGCAACUUGUAGGAUAUGCAGUAAAAGGAGAAAAAGAUAAAGUAUACAAAUUAAAGAAGGCUUUGUAUGGGUUGAAGCAGGCAUCAAGAGCAUGGUACAAGAACAUUAAUUCUUACUUUGUGCAAUAUGGUUUUGAGAGAUGUCCUUUUGAGUACACUUUAUAUGUUAAAUUUGUUGAUUUGGAGAAAUUAUUAUUAUGUGUAUAUAUGUUGAUGAUCUAAUCUUUAUUGGCAACAAUCCAACGAUGAUUGUAUUAUUCAAGGAGAUUAUGAUCAGUUGCUUUGAAAUGAUGAAUGUAGGCCUAAUGUCCUAUUUCCUUCACAUUAAGGUUGUUCUCAACAGGAUGAUAAAAUUUUUAUCUUCUACAAGAAAUAUGAAAGUGAUAUUUUGAAGAAGUUCAAGAUGGAGAAUUCACAGCCAACUUUCACACUAGUUGGAGAAAAGUUAAAGAUGACUAGAGAAAGUGAGGGUAGAAAAGUGGAUAUAAAAAUUUGAUUGGAAGUUUGGGAUAUUUGACUGUAACUAGACCAAAUAUAGUUUUUGGAAUUGAAUUGCUUAGCAAAUUCAUGGAAGAAUCACGUGCUUAUCAUUUGCAAGGAGCAAAGAAAAUUCUUCGUUAUAUCAAAGGCCAUACUUUAUCAAGAAGUUGCUUUCUAACGUAUUCAUGAAGAGAUAGCCAGAAACAUGAUUGAAACUUGCACUUCCCCUUCCCAAGGGAAUUGGCUGAAUUUGGAUUCGUAUGGUAGGGCACCGAUAAACAUCACCUAACGUGACUAGAGACAUGAGUGAAUGAUGUUAUUUGUAUAAUAAUUUUUCUACGCGUUUUAAUUUUUGUAAAGUAUAUAUGUAAACGAAAUAGUUAAAAUUAAUACAUAGGCAUAAAGAAUUAAUUCGUGACAUGAAUUUAUCAAGCCGACAUUAAAGAAUUUAAAAUUCAAUAUUUAAAAAAAAAAAA